rfam:Callithrix jacchus chromosome 11, whole genome shotgun sequence
GCCGGGCGUGGUGGCGGGUGCCUGUAAUCCCAGCUACUCAGGAGGCUGAGGCAGGAGAAUUGCUUGAACCCAGGAGGCGGAGGUUGCAGUGAGCAGAGAUUAUGCCACUGCACUCCAGCCUGUGUGACAGAGCAAGAUUUCGUCUCAA